rnacentral:rRNA from 1 species
GGAUUCCCCUAGUAACUGCGAGUGAAGCGGGAAAAGCUCAAAUUUAAAAUCUGGCAGUCUUUGAUUGUCCGAGUUGUAAUCUAGAGAAGUGUUAUCCGCGUUGGACCGUGUACAAGUCUCCUGGAAUGGGGCAUCAUAGAGGGUGAGAAUCCCGUCUUUGACACGGACUACCAGUGCUUUGUGAUGCGCUCUCAAAGAGUCGAGUUGUUUGGGAAUGCAGCUCAAAAUGGGUGGUAAAUUCCAUCUAAAGCUAAAUAUUGGCGAGAGACCGAUAGCGAACAAGUACCGUGAGGGAAAGAUGAAAAGAACUUUGGAAAGAGAGUUAAACAGUACGUGAAAUUGCUGAAAGGGAAACGCUUGAAGUCAGUCGCGUUGGCUGGAAAUCAACCUUGCUUUUGCUGGGCGUACUUUCUAGUCAAUGGGUCAGCAUCAAUUUUGACCAUUGGAAAAAGUGUAGAGGAAUGUGGCAUCUUCGGAUGUGUUAUAGCCUUUGCUCGCAUACAAUGGUUGGGAUUGAGGAAUUCAGCACGCCGCAAGGCCGGGUUUCGACCACGUUCGUGCUUAGGAUGCUGGCAUAAUGGCUUUAAUCGACCCGUCUUGAAA